GUGCAGCCACCGUUCCUGGUGCUGGUCCGGUUGUACUCGCCGGGCCGGCGUCGGCAACGCCGCCGCCGCCCCUCGCCUUGCGCCAGCUGCGACUCUCUGUUCAUCGAUCUGGUUAGUCUAGCUUGGGUGAGGCGAUUAAACGACAGAAAAGGCACACGCUUUACACUGCAAAAAAAAAACUAAUCUUCAGAACCUUUCACACUGAGUCGAGAUCAGUUGAAUUGGGUAGCGUGGUCUAUUAGUUCAUUACUACAUCAACUGAUUUCCUGCUGACCAAGUUUGCAGUGUCAAGUAACUACAGAUUGUUGCUUUAAUAAUUUCUCCUUAUCUCAAAUGCUACUAUAAUUUCAGUAAACUAUGCAUUUUACUUUUACUAUGUAAAAAGGUGUAGAUAUUAGGGCCUUCCAUAUGGUUAUAGGCCCAUUUAUAUUUAUAUGUAACUGUAUAGAGAGGGGAAUGUAGUAAGAGAAGUGAAGUUGAU